rnacentral:rRNA from 1 species
UGCAGUCGAGCGGAUGAAAGGAGCUUGCUCCUUGAUUCAGCGGCGGACGGGUGAGUAAUGCCUAGGAAUCUGCCUGGUAGUGGGGGACAACGUUUCGAAAGGAACGCUAAUACCGCAUACGUCCUACGGGAGAAAGCAGGGGACCUUCGGGCCUUGCGCUAUCAGAUGAGCCUAGGUCGGAUUAGCUAGUUGGUGAGGUAAUGGCUCACCAAGGCGACGAUCCGUAACUGGUCUGAGAGGAUGAUCAGUCACACUGGAACUGAGACACGGUCCAGACUCCUACGGGAGGCAGCAGUGGGGAAUAUUGGACAAUGGGCGAAAGCCUGAUCCAGCCAUGCCGCGUGUGUGAAGAAGGUCUUCGGAUUGUAAAGCACUUUAAGUUGGGAGGAAGGGUUGUAGAUUAAUACUCUGCAAUUUUGACGUUACCGACAGAAUAAGCACCGGCUAACUCUGUGCCAGCAGCCGCGGUAAUACAGAGGGUGCAAGCGUUAAUCGGAAUUACUGGGCGUAAAGCGCGCGUAGGUGGUUCGUUAAGUUGGAUG